GACUGCGUACCUUUUGUAUAAUGGGUCAGCGACUUAUAUUCUGUAGCAAGGUUAACCGAAUAGGGGAGCCGAAGGGAAACCGAGUCUUAACUGGGCGUUAAGUUGCAGGGUAUAGACCCGAAACCCGGUGAUCUAGCCAUGGGCAGGUUGAAGGUUGGGUAACACUAACUGGAGGACCGAACCGACUAAUGUUGAAAAAUUAGCGGAUGACUUGUGGCUGGGGGUGAAAGGCCAAUCAAACCGGGAGAUAGCUGGUUCUCCCCGAAAGCUAUUUAGGUAGCGCCUCGUGAAUUCAUCUCCGGGGGUAGAGCACUGUUUCGGCAAGGGGGUCAUCCCGACUUACCAACCCGAUGCAAACUGCGAAUACCGGAGAAUGUUAUCACGGGAGACACACGGCGGGUGCUAACGUCCGUCGUGAAGAGGGAAACAACCCAGACCGCCAGCUAAGGUCCCAAAGUCAUGGUUAAGUGGGAAACGAUGUGGGAAGGCCCAGACAGCCAGGAUGUUGGCUUAGAAGCAGCCAUCAUUUAAAGAAAGCGUAAUAGCUCACUGGUCGAGUCGGCCUGCGCGGAAGAUGUAACGGGGCUAAACCAUGCACCGAAGCUGCGGCAGCGACGCUGAUGCGUUGUUGGGUAGGGGAGCGUUCUGUAAGCCUGCGAAGGUGUGCUGUGAGGCAUGCUGG
rnacentral:rRNA from 1 species